rnacentral:rRNA from 1 species
GACAGAGGUGCCGAGCGUUAGGCGGAAUCACUGGGCUUAAAGCGUGUGUAGGCGGAUCGUUAAGUGCCUUGUGAAAUCCCACGGCUCAACCGUGGAACUGCUCGGCAUACUGGCGAUCUUGAGCCACUUAGGGGCUACCGGAACAAAUGGUGGAGCGGUGAAAUGCGUAGAUAUCAUUUGGAACGCCAAUGGUGAAAACAGGUAGCUGGGAGUGUGCUGACGCUGAGACACGAAAGCCAGGGGAGCAAACGGG